AAAAUUGUCUUUAUUGUUUACCUUUUGUUAAAACAAUUCACAAAAAUACUCUGCUCUCAUGGAUAUAAAAUAACUGCAAACACAGGUUUAUAAAAAAAAUAUCUUGGUUAAAUAUCGGUGUGCAAGAAAAUUUUUAACAGCCUUCUUUGCUCAUAUUUUACCAAGGGUGCCAAUAUUAGCGGAGGGCACAGUACACACACACAACACACUUCCAUAAAGUCUCAGAAACUCUUCUGUGGAAAGAGAAAAACCCUGAUGAUGCAAUAAACAGCAUAGUGUAAUAUCAUAUGUGUAAUGUGUGUGUAUAUGUCAGGCUUAGCUCUCAACAUGUCUCCAGGGCUUUCAAGCAUAAUUAGGUAUCUGCUAGUGAUUAGAGGCUCCACGAUCUGUCCUCUAAAAAAAAAAAGCUUCACGUUAACAUAAUAUUAAAGCUGUCAGCUGAAAGCAGAUCUUUGUAGUGGGACGCACAUUCUCGAUCGCUACUUUUGUAGUAACCUUAAACUGUGCGUGAUAAAAGGCAUACACAUGAUUCAUGCAAGUUUGUUCUGGAUUGCUCACCAUUACCACCUCAUAAAAAUCCUCCCAUCUCUAAUUUAUGGUAUGGAGGUUGAAAGCCAGCCGUGUGACUAAUCACCUAACGUCAUGUUUGAGGAAGACUUUGGGUCCCACGCUGGUCCCACGCUAAGGCUAAAGCACUAAUCUUAUUAGUACUGUAUUUGUCAGAGAGUUGUAUCUAGUACUCUCUUUAGCUUACAUUGAGGCAAAGCUUUGCAAGAGGAUUAAAGGAACCUGUCAUUUUAGUAAGGAAUAAAACAUGACAGGAUCACCACCAUAGUCAUGAUAUCAAGAAACUCCAAAGAAAGUCCUCAGUCAUUAACACUUUCCUUUGGUGAAAAACUGGGACGCCUUCUAUAAAUGUUAACUAAACAUCUCCCUCCACCGAAGCUUCACGAGAUCAAUAAGUAUGCUAAACUUUAUUACAUAAAUAGAUCCCAGAUGCUGCAGUGUAAAUGUGCUUGUUGUAUGAACACAACUCAGCAGAGACAACAAAGCAAGCUAUGUUCCCAGUGUCCUAUGUUCCCAGUGUCCUAUGUUCCCAGGGUCCUAUGUUCCCAGGGUCCUAUGUUCCCAGUGUCCUAUGUUCCCAGUGUCCUAUGCUCCCAGUGUCCUAUGUUCCCAGUGUCCUAUGCUCCCAGUGUCCUAUGCUCCCAGGGUCCUAUGUUCCCAGUGUCCUAUGUUCCCAGUGUCCUAUGUUCCCAGGGUCCUAUGUUCCCAGUGUCCUAUGUUCCCAGGGUCCUAUGUUCCCAGGGUCCUAUGUUCACAGUGUCCUAUGUUCCCAGGGUCCUAUGUUCACAGUGUCCUAUGUUCCCAGGGUCCUAUGUUCCCAGUGUCCUAUGUUCCCAGGGUCCUAUGUUCCAGUUGUCCUAUGUUUCCAGGAUCUUAUGUUCCCAAUAGGACCAUAGUCCUAAGCCAUUGAUUCAAUAUUUGAUAAUAUCACUGGAUCUGUCACAUUACCGUAUGAUACAAUUUGAUUGACUAGCCUCUGCUAUGUGACUAACUUCGUUUAGAAUUAAUUAUAAAUGCUAAUAUUGGAUUCGGAGAUGAUCGGAGAUCUGGACGCAUCGAUCUCAAUCAUCCGAAGGCUGGACAUUGGUCCGAAGAUCCCACAGCUCCGACUGCAAAUGAAUAUUACGGGAUUGCCAGAGUGACUCAUAUGAACUCAGACUGUACUGAGAAAGAAAAACCGCUAAAACCCGACUGUUCAUACAAAUGUUUAUUUCAUACAAAUGUGUGUUGUGAGCCUCGAAACAUUUAUUAUAACAUAGCAUCAAGUGUAUAAAUGUUGGCGUUUCAGAGCAGUAAGUGAAGAGUGUCAGCGGUAACUGAAGUGUUUUGGAGUAGGAAUGACUUCAUUAUGCACAUAUACAGUAUAAAUACAAGCACGCGGUAAAAACAGAGGCACGGUCACAUUGUCCGAGAGGUUCAUACAAAGUACACCAGUGAUUAUAAUUAUUUUUUUUUAAAAAGCUGUUUUUGCAAAGAGGAUUUUGCUUUUGCCUCUCAUGAGGAGUACAAAAAUACCAUUCGCACAGUUUCUUUUAAUGGCAGAAAAAUACUAUACAAACCUCAGAUGGAACGAGAGAAAAAUCAAUAUCACAUUAGAAGAUAUAAUUAAUAAUUAAGCAGGCCAGCUGGAGGCUGAUGCUUUUAGUGAUCUAUCCUAAAGAGUGGUGUCUUUUUAUUAAUAUUUGAAGGCAGAUUCUCGAAGAAAUGAUGCUUUGCGUCUCCAUGGGGUGUAAGUGCAUGCAUAUUAAUCUUAUUAAUCCAAAACAGCAUUCAUAGAUGUUUUCUGCCAGACUUGAGAGCUGCUUUCACACUAGAUGUUUGCUUCAUCAAUUGCCGGCGCACAUCUUGGAUAUACACUAUAUGGCCAAAAGGACGUGGACACCUGAUCGGUCACACACUUCCCGUUCUGGAUGUAGUCCCACUUUGCUAUUAUAAUAUCCUCCACUCUUCUGGGAAAGCUUUCCACUAGAUUUUCGAGCGUGGCUUUGUCCAUUCAGCCACAAGAGCAUUGAUGAGGUCAGGCAUUGAUGUUGGGUGAGGAGGCCUGGGGUGCAGUUGAAGAUGAGGUCAGGGGUUUGUGUAGGCCAUUCGAGUUAUUCCUCUCCAGCCACGUCUUCAUAGCGCUCGCUUUGUGCACAGGUGCACUGUCAUGCUGGAGAAAGGAAAUCUACAGCUACAGCAAACAAAGGCAUUCUAAACAACCGUUUGCUUCCAGCUUUAUGGCAACAGAAACAAAGGUGAUGGUCAGGUGUCCACAUACUUUUGGCCGUAUGGUGUAUUUUAAGCAACUGCAACAUAGUCGUGUUAUACGGGGUUUUUGCUCCCUUUGCAACGGAGUGCUUGCAAAAGUAAUUUUCUGUCUUCUGUGACGAUUUUUAGCUGCAAGACAUACAGCGGAUCUGAAAAAGUCUACACACCCCUGUUAAAAUGGCAGGUUGUUGUGAUGUAAAAAAACGAAACCAAGAUAAAUCGUGUCAAUCUUUUCUACCUUCACUGUAAAAUUUUAACCUAUUCAUUAGUUUCAGGGAUAAAAAUAAUGUACAAUGACCUGGUUACAUGAGUGUGCACACACCUAGACUAAUACUCAGUUGAAGCACCUUUAGAGUUUAAUCACAGCAUUCAAUCUUUCUGGAUAAGAGUCAGUCAGUUUGGCACGUCUGGACUUAGAAAUAUUUUGCCAUUCUUCCUUGCAAAAGUGUUCUAACUCUGUCAGUCUGGUUGUGCGUCUCGUCUUCAGGUCACCCCACAGAUCUUUGAUUGGAUUUAGGUCUGGACUCCGGCUGGGCCAUUCCAAAACCUUGAACUUGUUUUAUUGAAGCCAUCCCUUUGUUGAUCUGACGGUUUGCCUUGAGUCAUUGUCAUGCUGAAAGGUGACAUUCCUCUUCAUCUUAAGUGUUUUAACAGAAGCGUUAAGGUUUUGCACCAAAAUCGACUGGUAUUUGGAGCUAUUCAUGAUUCCCUCCACCCCAAUUAACGCCCCAGUUCCUGUUGAAGAUAAAAAGCCCUACAGUACGAUGCUGCCUCUUCCAUGCUUCACCGUGGGGAUGAUGUGCUUUAGGUGAUGUGAUGUGAUGUGUUUUGGUAUUAUGGUCAAAAAUGUGUAUGUGGCUUUUCUAGUUGGAUGUUAAGAUGAUGUCAGGAAAAUCCUAUAGGAACAACUGUAUUUUAUUUAGGGUUAAUCAGUCACUUUAAAUGACCCCCCCCCCCCCCCCCCCACCCACCCACCUAAAAUGAUUAAUUAAAGUGAAUAACAAUAAUAAUGAAGUAACAAGUAAAAAUUUAACAAUAAAAGGUAGAAAAGGUUCUGAAAUGUUUUAUGCUGGUUUAAUUUUUUUUUUUUUUUUACACAUCACAAAAUGCUACUAGGGUGUGUAGACUUUUCAGAUCCUUUAAUAUAAACAUGUAUUUAUAUAUCGUGUUUACAUACAUAUAUAUAUAUACA
ensembl:lncRNA